AGAGGACAGCAGAUCUGACGGGAUACGCCGCCCUCGAGGGGGGUCACGUGCGAAUGCCACAGGAAGCGGACGAGAACCGAGCUGCCUCCCGCUGUCGUCACCUCUGCCAAGAAACCACAACCCUAAAGCAGAGAAGCAGAAUAGACCCGGGCCUACCCAGCGCGAUGGCAGCAAUUUCCUUCCUCGACCUCAGCUCCGGCUGGCUGCCGGUUGUUGCCCCACGGCCUUUGACUCCACUGCGGAUUUUUAUCCUUGGGAAAAGAGAUCAUCAUUUCGAAAGUGCGUUCUACGAGUGAAAAAUGCAGAAUGCCGCUAAAGUAGCCCGCUGAUAUCUAGUGGCACGGACCAGCUCGUCAACGUACUCACCUCUUCUUGAACAUUUUAAAGCAGCAUUAUAAUCAAAGCGAUGAUCGGGUGAAAAUGCCUUCAGACCUUGGCAGGAUGAGAGAGGAUCGGGCAGCGCCAUCACUUUAGGAAUUGGAAAAUUAAAUUAACGUUUUACCUGUCACA